GGGAUUUUUCUACUGGAUUCCGACCACUACAGUAGAUCAAAGGACCUUAGAGGUAAUGAAGAUUGUUUGGGACAGAUCUGCGAUUUCCUAGAUAGGAAGCCAAAACGAGCGUGGAGGAGCUGCGGCCAGAAAUUUAACAGUAAGUUCUUCAGGAUUGGAGCAGCGCUGAGGCAUUGGAAAUUGGGACUUUGAUUCGGGACGAGCACUUCGCCAUAGAGAUUGUUUAGCUCGGUCUACAUUUG